rnacentral:rRNA from 1 species
GGGUUGUGAGGUUAAGUGACUAAGCGUACACGGUGGAUGCCUAGGCAGUCAGAGGCGAUGAAGGGCGUGCUAAUCUGCGAAAAGCGUCGGUAAGGUGAUAUGAACCGUUAUAACCGGCGAUACCCGAAUGGGGAAACCCAGUGUGUUUCGACACACUAUCAUGUCAUGAAUACAUAGUGG